GCUGUCUUUUCUUUGUUAUUUAAACUGACAAUAAUGGGAUGUGUUAACAUUACUACCCUUAUAUUGCUAGUAGUUAUAAAAGUCUACGCAGAAAAAUUGGCGGGUAAUAGCUAGUUUUACCAGUUGUACAUACAAUAAACGUUCAACGAAAGCGGAGGCAACAAAACACCACAGUCAGUGACUGUGAGUAAUGGAGUAAAUAUCAACUACCUGACAUUAACCUAAUAUUAUUAUUAGUAUGAACAAAAUAAAAACUGAACAAUUUUUAUAUGUAGCAGUAUGCAACAAAUCUUUUGUAAGUACUAUUAUUUAGGUAUUUUUUGUCAAACUACGCCCAGGGCUUAAUACUGAU